GGAGGAGUGGCCGAGCGGUUUAAGGCACCGGUCUUGAAAACCGGGGUGCGUGAAAGCGUACCGUGGGUUCGAAUCCCACCUCCUCCGCCA
rnacentral:tRNA from 1 species